AAGCUCGAUGGAUAGAGCAUUGGACUUCUAAUCCAAAGGUCGUGGUUUCGAAUCCUACCUGGGAUU